UUUGGACAUAAGAGCUUAUUUUCAAGUUAGCCAGUGUGUUUUUUAUCAGUGGAGAGAGUUUAACACUUUUCAUCCAGUUCUUCCUUCCAGUUGCAGAGUUCACUGGUGCUAGGCUAGCGCAAGUCAACAGCAUCUGCCAGCCUUCCAUUAAAAACAGUUUUACCCACUCCACAGAACACCCAAGGCACACA